AAUCAGACCUUUAAAAAGGGGACUAAGAGUCCAUGCCCAGGGAAUGGUUUCUCUCUCUUCCGCUGGACUUUAACAAGCAAGCACAUGACGGGCUUCAUCAGUCCUGGACGAGAAAGCUGAGAUGAAAAUAACUUGAGUCUUGGAUGAAAUCAGUGACCCUAUGAUAUCAUCACAUCUAGAGCUGACUCUAACUGGACUUCCAGCUAUAUAUUCAAGAAACAAGACCUGCAAACCCCUCUUUGCUGAUUCAAGUAUGCCUGGCGAAGAUCCACAAAGUAGAAGGCAGAAGGUCAGCUCAGUACCCAAGGCACUUCCUGUGGAAAGUUACUCACUUAAUCCCAAAGGCAAGACAAGGGCAACCCUUUAAUAUUCAUUUGGAAAAAUCAAAAAGGGAGAGUAGCAUAGAUAGGGUUGCUGAUCCAGUCAAGUCAAUACCAGGCUUCUCACACCUCUCCCAGUGCCUAUCCCAGAAGAUUGAGAACAAUGCUAGGAAGGUAAUUAAAUUGGGGUAGCUAACUCUUCAAGUCUAAUGCAAAUAUUUCCUUCAUUUAGCUGUUCACUUCAUUUGGUUUAAAUAAAGAUAAACCACAUCAAGAUACAAACAUCUAAACUCUUUUCUAAAAGACUCAAAGGAAGAAUACAUUUAUAGAAAAGUUUGGAAAGAUAACCAAAAACGAAGCCAUUCAACCUUUCAAUUAUAGCAGCCCAUAGCAUUGUUACGACUUUUGCGACUGACUACAUAACAAAAGGGGCUGUGUGGUGGAAGACCCUGGAUUUAAACCUGUUUGAUUAUAUCUCUGGAUGUAAAGUCUUUGACUGGAGGGAUAAUCUUUCUCUCCUCAGUAUUUUCCAGGGUCUUAAUAAAUAUCUGCUGAAUGAACAAA
ensembl:lncRNA novel transcript, antisense to COX17